UAGGGAAUCUUCGGCAAUGGGGGGAACCCUGACCGAGCAACGCCGCGUGAGUGAAGAAGGUUUUCGGAUCGUAAAGCUCUGUUGUUAAGGAAGAACGAGUGUGAGAAUGGAAAGUUCAUACUGUGACGGUACUUAACCAGAAAGGGACGGCUAACUACGUGCCAGCAGCCGCGGUAAUACGUAGGUCCCGAGCGUUGUCCGGAUUUAUUGGGCGUAAAGCGAGCGCAGGCGGUUAGAUAAGUCUGAAGUUAAAGGCAGUGGCUCAACCAUUGUAGGCUUUGGAAACAGUUUAACUUGAGUGCAGAAGGAGAGAGUGGAAAUCCAUGUGUAGCGGUGAAAUGCGUAGAUAUAUGGAGGAACACCGGUGGCGAAAGCGGCUCUCUGGUCUGUAACUGACGCUGAGGCUCGAAAGCGUGGGGAGCGAACAGG
rnacentral:rRNA from 1 species